rnacentral:rRNA from 1 species
AUUGAACGCUGGCGGCAUGCCUUACACAUGCAAGUCGAACGGCAGCACGGGAGCAAUCCUGGUGGCGAGUGGCGAACGGGUGAGUAAAGUAUCGGAACGUGCCCAGUCGUGGGGGAUAACGAAGCGAAAGUUACGCUAAUACCGUAUACGAUCUAUGGAUGAAAGCGGGGGAUCGCAAGACCUCGCGCGGUUGGAGCGGCCGAUAUCAGAUUAGGUAGUUGGUGGGGUAAAGGCUCACCAAGCCGACGAUCUGUAGCUGGUCUGAGAGGACGACCAGCCACACUGGGACAGAGACACGGCCCAGACUCCUACGGGAGGCAGCAGUGGGGAAUUUUGGACAAUGGGCGAAAGCCUGAUCCAGCCAUGCCGCGUGCAGGAUGAAGGCCUUCGGGUUGUAAACUGCUUUUGUACGGAACGAAAAGGUUUGGCCUAAUAAGCUGAGCUCAUGACGGUACCGUAAGAAUAAGCACCGGCUAACUACGUGCCAGCAGCCGCAGUAA